UGAAGACGACGACGAAGAAGAAGAUGGCGAAGAAAAGUGAUCGAAGAGCUCCCUUCGAUCCAAUCCAGGAGGGGAAGUGGUCGGUUGCAGCUGCCGGUUCAUGGAUGCCUCUCUGGUGCAGCAAUGACUAAUGCUCACCUGCACUUGCAUGGGUGUGCAUGACCCGGGAGAUGAACCCACCAUCAUCUUUCCCUCGUGCUUGGAUUGAAGGGAGCUCCUCUCUCUUUCCUCUCUCUCU
rnacentral:pre_miRNA from 1 species